UCGGGAAUUUUGGGCAAUGGGCGAAAGCCUGACCCAGCAACGCCGCGUGAAGGAUGAAGUAUUUCGGUAUGUAAACUUCGAAAGAAUAGGAAGAAUAAAUGACGGUACUAUUUAUAAGGUCCGGCUAACUACGUGCCAGCAGCCGCGGUAAUACGUAGGGACCAAGCGUUGUUCGGAUUUACUGGGCGUAAAGGGCGCGUAGGCGGCUUGUCAAGUCACUUGUGAAAUCUCUGGGCUUAACCCAGAACGGCCAAGUGAAACUGACAUGCUAGAGUGCAGAAGGGGCAAUCGGAAUUCUUGGUGUAGCGGUGAAAUGCGUAGAUAUCAAGAGGAACACCUGAGGUGAAGACGGGUUGCUGGGCUGACACUGACGCUGAGGCGCGAAAGCCAGGGGAGCAAACGGG
rnacentral:rRNA from 1 species